rnacentral:lncRNA from 1 species
GAUUCAUAUUCAUCCAGAAUCCAACCACACACAAAUUAAAUUGAUUCGAAUGGUUACGGAAAAGAUAAAUCAAUUCGCUUGAAGAAAUAUGUGAACUCCAAAUGAAUAUCUCACAUGGUACAUUAUGUUAUAUAUGUGUUGGAUCUCCAAGAGAACAAUUGUAAGCCAUGCAUCGGAUCUGUUUUUAAAACCAAAGACUAUAUUAUCUGUAG